AAAAAAGGUAUAAAUCAAUUGUGCCCUCUGUAGUCCCACAAUGACCUUUUCCUUGCCGUUUUGCUUACUUACACGAAACAUGAUUUUUUUUUUUUUAACCUCUGCCCUCUGUCGAAGAACACUUUCGAUUUCCGUACGUUUUAUUCUACAUAAUAUAAUAUGCCAAUGGCACGAAUCGAUAGUGGAUUAUAGCGAGUGUUCGAACGCUCGAAAAGAUUGAAACGCGCACACCGACUUAGACGGGUACAUUGUCCAAAGCAUUCGGAUAAUAAUUUCGAAGACACUGACGGACGAUAGCAUCAUUUCAUCAACAGGUGAUCGGACGGACUCCAAUUGCAACUGGUGCGUGCGAUUAAAAAAAAAAAAAAAAAACUGAUAGUAAAAUAAUAUGUUGAACACGACGAUUUAUAUAAUUUGAGAUUAUCCGCUAACACUCCGCUUGCUCUCUCUAUCCUUCUCUCGUGAAAUCCUAAACUUUAAUAACAAUUCAGGGAUCGGUCCGCAUACACAGCUAUAAUACUUCAUAGUAUUAAUAUAAUAAUAUGAUAAUAUCCUAUAGAUUUUCCGGUGUAUACAAUAAUAAUAAUAAUUGUUUGAAAUCCAGUCUUUGUCUAUAUAUACGAGAUAUUAAUUACGGUAUA